rfam:Schistosoma mansoni strain Puerto Rico chromosome 1, complete genome
AUCCAGCUGAUGAGUCCCAAAUAGGGCGAAACGUGGGUCCUGAAU